UGACUGUAGCAAGCACCCUUCACAUUCUGCUAAAUGGAACAAGGGUAAUCCCUGGCAGGGUGCAGGAUUCUAUCCUGAGAGAGAUCCUCUCCCCUUGCCCUGUCUUCCAGUCCACAGGGGACUUUUUGUCCUGGAGACAGGAAACAGUCUCUUCACCUGUG
rfam:Otolemur garnettii contig079824, whole genome shotgun sequence.